rnacentral:rRNA from 1 species
GUGGGGAAUAUUGGACAAUGGGCGCAAGCCUGAUCCAGCCAUGCCGCGUGAGUGAAGAAGGCCCUAGGGUUGUAAAACUCUUUCAGCGGGGAAGAUGAUGACGGUACCCGCAGAAGAAGCCCCGGCUAACUCCGUGCCAGCAGCCGCGGUAAUACGGAGGGGGCUAGCGUUGUUCGGAAUUACUGGGCGUAAAGGGUGUGUAGGCGGAUCGAUCAGUCAGGCGUGAAAGCCCCGGGCUCAACCCGGGAAAUGCGCUUGAAACUGUCGAUCUUGAGUUCGGGAGAGGGUAGUGGAAUUCCCAGUGUAGAGGUGAAAUUCGUAGAUAUUGGGAAGAACACCAGUGGCGAAGGCGGCUACCUGGACCGAUACUGACGCUAAUGCGCGAAAGCGUGGGGAGCAAACAGG